CUUAGGCAUGUCCAUUUUCAAACAAGCACGUGCUUGCUUCAUGUGUAAAAGCGGCAAGAAGAUCCGACACAGGAGAAAUAGUUUGUGAAGUGAUCAGUAAGAUGAAUCAGGUGAGCUACUUAACAACAUAGAAACUGUUCAUCCAAGACAGUAGAGGUCACAUGGAAACUGACAAGGGCUUGAAAAUGGCUCUGGAAAAUGCUUCUGUGUCAAAUGCUGGCAAGAUGGCAGGACAAGAGGGCCUUUCUCCAAAUCCCAGAUGUCAUGAAGAGCAGAGAUUGAAACCCUCUAUCCCCGGAACCACAUGACAAACACUUUACAAGUUGAUUAAAAGGAAGCUAGAGGGUAUAUAUCUUAAAAACU